rfam:Rhynchosporium commune strain TK7 genome assembly, contig: RCO7_scaffold013
GGGCGAUUGGUUUAGUGGUAUAAUACCUCUUUGUACGUCUACAAGUGAUCUACCCGUGACGCUAAAUGCUAAUCCUUACUAGAGCAUAGAAUGAUGCGUUCAUUCAUAUGUAGAGGUGGUCCAGGGUUCGAUUCCCUGAUCGUCCA